rnacentral:rRNA from 1 species
CCUACGGGUGGCAGCAGUCGAGAAUCAUUCACAAUGGGGGAAACCCUGAUGGUGCGAUGCCGCGUGGGGGAAUGUAGCCCUUCGGAUUGUAAACCCCUGUCAUCGGGGAGAAAAUUAAAAAGAUAGUACCACACGAGGAAGAGACGGCUAACUCUGUGCCAGCAGCCGCGGCAAAAGAGGGGUGUCAAGCGUUGUUCGGCAUCACGGGGCGUAAUGCGUGCGUGGGCUGGAUGGAAAGUCGGGGGGGAAGGGCGCGGGCCCAAGGCGCGAAGGGCACUUGAUACUGCGCGACUAGAGUAGGGGAGGGGUGAGCGGAAUGCUCGGUGUAGCAGUGAAAUGCAUAGAUAUCG